rnacentral:misc_RNA from 1 species
UGGUUCUGGCAUCGAUGAAGAACGCAGCGAAAUGCGAUAAGUAAUGCGAAUUGCAGAAUUCCGUGAGUCAUCGAAUCUUUGAACGCACAUUGCGCCCUUUGGUAUUCCGAAGGGCAUGCCUGUUCGAGCGUCAUUAUCAACCUUCAAGCCUGGCUUGCCGUUGGACUCGGUGGACUUUGGGUCCACCGGUCCCAAAGACAAUGACGGUGUCCGUGGGACCCUCGGUACAAGGAGCUUUUAACCAAGCACGUACCGCAGAACCCCCGGAUCCGGUCUACCUAUAUCUUUUCUCAGGUUGACCUCGGAUCAGGUAGGAAUACCCGCUGA